UAGGAAGCCUCCUCUUGAGGAAAAGUAAA
rnacentral:piRNA from 1 species